rnacentral:rRNA from 1 species
GACAGAGGUCCCGAGCGUUAGGCGGAAUCACUGGGCUUAAAGCGUGUGUAGGCGGAUCGUUAAGUGCCUUGUGAAAUCCCAUGGCUUAACCAUGGAACUGCUUGGCAUACUGGCGAUCUUGAGCCACUUAGGGGCAACCGGAACAAAUGGUGGAGCGGUGAAAUGCGUAGAUAUCAGGAGGAACACCGGUGGCGAAGGCGGUUCUCUGGGCCUUACCUGACGCUGAGGAGCGAAAGCAUGGGGAGCAAACAGG